rnacentral:lncRNA from 1 species
GCCAUCAACUUAGUCCAUAAGUAACAGUAGCAACAACAUGAAUCUGAAAAUACUUUAAAUGAUUAAUUAAAUAAAGAAAAAAUAUUGUGAACACAUUAUAUUUCACAAUUCCGCAACUACUGUUGCUGUCAUCUUGUGUCACUGAAAAAUUUUAGAAAGACAUAUUAAAUGGGUAGUCAAUUUAUAAUGAGCCAAAAUGGUGAAUGGCUCUUUUUGGCUCAAUGGAGAAG